CCUCUUUUUCUCGCCGGUUCCUGUUUCUCCAUCGAGAAUCUCUCUGACUCAACAACACUUCCCCGUUCCUCAACUUCAUGCCCAGAUCUCCGUCUGCAGAGGAACUCUCUGCCAUCGCCCAUCACCAUUCAUAGAGCAUGGGCGAUUGCAAGCGCUCUGUUGUUUCCCUUUCUGCCGUUCUUAGCAAUGCCUGGUGCUCUCUUUCUCUCUCACACACACCCCCCAUUACACGGUCACUUUUUGUGUACACAAUUGAUACAAUUAAAUUAUUUACUCUCUUUUCCCCAUGUUUUAUUGCACGACCAAUUUUUCUUUUGCAGUUGCAACUCUGACACUUCCUGUUCUUCAUCGUUAACAGGUUCGUGACUUAUUCUUGUUUGCUUUUGCUCCUUUUCUCAAUCAGGGAGCUUCCUUGAUGCUGGAGAAGUUGAAGACAUUGAAUUUCAAAAUUCUCCAAAUGUCAUCCAGCAGUUACGAGUUCAAGUCAUUAAGGCGGGGUUUUGUGAAGAUCAGGUGCAGUUCUUAUCGAUCAAUGGAUGCCAUUGAUUUAUCUAAGUUGAUCGUGUAACUUCGACUAUAGAUGAGAGCUUCAACGUAGGUUUUCUGAUGGUCGAGUAACUCAGGAUCCCAAGAAGGUUAACUCGAUUUAUGUUUAAGAUGGUGGCAUCUCUCUUAGAUGCUGAGGGUUUAAACAUCAAGGCUGGUGAAACUGCACUAGAUAUUGCUGAAAGAAAAAUUCAUGUUCAGAAACCGCUUUUAUUCUGAGAGAAUGAAGUGUGGAAACCUUCAAACAUUGCAGGAUACACUGAAUUGGAUAGGAUUAGAAAAGAGAAUGAAAUAUGCAGAUUGAAUUUGGGUAUAUCAGCUGGUCACUUUCUGCUUAUCCAUUUCUUUAUGGGUUCGUCAUGAGUUAAUUUCUUGUCUGAUAUUUUUAGGCAUUUGAUGGAUGAAGAUCUGAGCUCAUUGUUUAUUAUUGAGUUUCAAAAAUUUGAAGACUGAUCAUGUUCCCCUGAAGCAAGUGGUUUCUUCAGAUGGGUGGUGCUCAUUAUUUUAUAUCUGGAUUAUAAGUUUCCAGGUCCUUCUAGAAAAUGUCAUCGGAUGACAUUGGAAUGGUAUUUUACACUUAUUUUCUGUGUGUCAUGGACAUUGGAAAGAAUGUCGUGCUACAUCAUGUUAGGCCACAUCAAAGAAACAUAUACCUGUACUUCUACUGCUUACUGUUUUUAACAGACAGAUAUGAAUGGGUUUCAUUGAUGAAAUCAUGAGGAAUUGGUGCUAUGUUGUCGCCUAAGCAUACAACUUUGUAUAACACUUGACUGCCCACAUUAAUCACUAAGUAGAUACACUACUGUCCUAAUAUUGAAAUAUUUCUUUCUUUACACAUAUCAUUCAAUGCAUUGGAGCCCAUUCUUAUGGCCCGACAAAUUGGCCCUAUUUUUAUCCAAGACUUCCCUUGGGGCUCGUUUGAUUGUCGGGUGAAAUUUAACAUGGUAAAUUUAUCAUGGUAAAUUUUUCUGGAAAAAUUUACAGGAUGAAAUUUCUCCUUGUUCCAAUGUGAGGCUUUGUUUGAUGCACACGAAAAAUUUAACGUGGUAAAUUUAAGUUUGUUUGAUGCACAGGAAAAAUUUAACCUGGUAAAAAGCAAGAAAACUUGAUGAAAAUUUUCAAUCUUUGUGUACCCUUCAAUGAAAGUAUCCAUGAAACGACUGAUAAUUGAAUAGGAGGUGAGCACAAUCUACAAGCCCAAGCUUCAUAAUGAAAUUACAUAAUACUGAAUCCAACUCAUGCCCAACGAUAACUCAUGCCCAAGCUUCAUCCUGUGGCAAUGAAUCAACCUGCCAAUGUCAAGAAACCCACACUGACCAGCUGUAAUGCUCACUAAGCUGCUCAAAUUGGGCUUCAAAUCACCCAUCAACAGACUAUUAAAAAUCCCAAGCAACGCAUUGAACUCACCAACUUUGCAGUAACCAUCAAUCAUGGCAUUCCAUGAGACGAUGCUUCUUUUGGGCAUUUUAUCGAACACCUUGCGAGCAAGCUGUUCGUUACCAGUUAUCCCGUGCAGAUGGUGGAGUAUUGAAUCACCCACAUCGCAUUCUGUGGACAAUAACAAAUGGUGGAGUAUCUGGGGACAAUAAUCGCAUUUCAUCAAAUCACCCAAGAGGGGUGUGAUCGAAAUCAUUGGAACACUUUUCUGCCUGUUAGAGCUCCCUUCGUCUUCCUCUUGUCAUCUUCAUCCUCUGCUGGCUCCCUUCGUUUUCCCCUUCUCAUUUUCAUCCUCUGUUGGCUCCCUUCGUCUUCCCCUUCUCAUUUUCAUCCUCUGCUGCUUCACCCCACCGCUGCCUCGUCCCACCGCCACUGCCCUUGCCCCACUGCUGCUUCUUCGUUGCACAGCGUGUUCUAAUCUUUUGAUAUGAAGGUCUCGAAUUCUCGCCCCACCACUGUGUCCUGUAGGGGGAUUUUGCAUGGAUCCUCCACAUCAAGUGAAGCCAGGAGCAUUCAAUCCACCAUAGAUUUUGGGGGGUUUUCUGAGUCGGCUGCAUAGAGUCGAGCUUUUUCCAGCAGUCUUUGCAGUUUCUAUUUGAGGGUGAUUAGGGUUUUUGAAUUGGGAGAAAUUUGAGAAGCCUUGAUUAUGGUAGGCCAUCGGCAGUGUCAAUGGGAAGAAUCCAGCACCACGGAGAAGAGUAAAGCCCCGAUUUCUGAGAUUGAUAUGAAAUCGGCGUCACUUCCUUCGUGCUCUGCCCGCACCACCUGCUUCACCCUCCAUUCCUUCGUGCUCUUCCCGCACCACCUGCUCUUCACCCUCCAUUCCUUCGUGCUAUUCCCGCACCACCUGCUUCACCCUCCAUUUCUUUGUGCUUUGCUGCAGAAACCCCUCCCCAGUCUCGGCCACAUGCUCAGGACGUGAGAGUGAAAAAUCGAAAGCGGUCGAACGGUGAAAUUUCACCCGCUCAAAAGUCCGAGCUGCGAGCUCGGACUUUCGAGCGGGUGAAAUUUCACCCGCUCGCUUAUAUGUUAAACGGGGUGAAUUUCACCCCGUUUGAUGCAUUUUACGUCGGGCGGGUGAAAUUUCACCCACCCAUACAGAUUUUUCCCUCCCUUUUCAUUUUACCCCGGCUAUCAAACGGGGCCUUGGUUAUGACCUAUGGGAUCUGUCAUAUUCAAUUCGGAUGUUUGCCCUGCCCUUUUCUACUUAUUUAGGAUGAUCUAAAAGGUGCAGACACGAAAGAUUUUAGGCUACUAUUUAAUCCAUUGUUCCCUUAUUCAGCUCAAGAACACUGAAUCAUGGCGCUGGAUCUUUGUUAUUGAAUGUUGAAGGGCUGAGGUACAAUUGCUGUGGGAAGUUUCCACUUGUAAAGAGAAGACGGAUUAUGCUACCCACUCUUUCCAAGUUCCUCUGAAGCUCUCCGAUGGGCAUGACUUUGGUCACUUGAACUUACUGCAGCACUACUUUUCUUCAUUUGUGGAUAUCUCACUGGGCCAGUCACUUGAUCAUAUGGUAUACAUUCUUGAACAUAUAUAGCUUUUGCUUUCCGUUUGAAAUUGCAUGGUUUAUAUAUUAGCAUUCAGGUUGCUCCUCGCUGUUGAAGAAAUCACCUUUUAUUGGCCGAAUGCUCUAGUUUUCGUGAUGUUGGUACUAGAUUUGUAACUUGUAUUGUAUUUGAUCUUUUGUCAUUUUUUUAUAUUAACUUAUUCACAUUAAUCAUGUUUAAUUCGGACUUCGGACCUACAAUGUAAGCAAGAUCUGACAGAUGUCCUGGCAGCAGCACCAUCUAUGUGGACUCUUGGCAAUAAAGGGAUGGGGGUUGUCAAUCCGCAGCCUAUGAAAGUGCAGAAAGCGUUGAAUCUGGUGAGCAACAAGAGUCUCAAUAAGAAACAUAAACAUGGUGGAGAAGUCUUCGUAUUAGAAAGUUAUAUCUCCUUGAAGGAAAACAAUGACAAAUUUCUCAGAAUUUACUUGAAGGAGCAAGAGGAGAGCCUCGUGGAGUGAUAUAGUAAAGAUUUCAAUGUAAAAUCUAGUUGUUGUAGUGUACCUCAUUCAGAAUCUGUUUUUUAUGGUACAACUUGCUUGGACGAUAACCGAAAAAAUUAAUUGUCUAAAUGUUUGUUAAUGAA